rnacentral:rRNA from 1 species
GACGAACGCUGGCGGCGUGCUUAACACAUGCAAGUCGAGCGGUAAGGCCCUUUCGGGGGUACGACGAGCGGCGAACGGGUGAGUAACACGUGGGUGACCUGCCCUUAGCUCUGGGAUAAGCCUGGGAAACUGGGUCUAAUACCGGAUAUGACUCCAUGACGCAUGUUGUGGGGUGGAAAGCCUUGUGCGGCUAGGGGAUGGGGCCCGCGGCCUAUCAGCUUGUUGGUGGGGUGAUGGCCUACCAAGGCGACGACGGGUAGCCGGCCUGAGAGGGCGACCGGCCACACUGGGACUGAGACACGGCCCAGACUCCUACGGGAGGCAGCAGUGGGGAAUCUUGCGCAAUGGGCGAAAGCCUGACGCAGCGACGCCGCGUGAGGGAUGACGGCCU